rnacentral:lncRNA from 1 species
AACAGCAGACGAUCUAACUUCGUUGAAAUGUCAAGUCACUAUUGGUAGACAAAAAGUUUCUUUAGCUAUCUUUCAACAAUCUGUAAAAUAACUUAGAUAGUGUUCUAAAGCACUCUUCCCUUCUACGUUUCAAUUCACCGUGUCUGCGCAUUCUCUCUAAAUUCAGUUUGUCACCCUACUUGAUAGCUUGUGUUUAUUGACUAAGCUGGAAAAUUGUGCAUACGACGAUGACCAAGGGACUGAUAAUUCAUACUGGUUGAUUAUGAGAAGCCCUCUUCCGUCAUCCGAUCCAUUGACGACAUUUCGAUUCGUCAAUAUGGUUUACCAUGGAGAAGGCCGGAUUGUCUUUCACAACACUGUGUUCUACUGGUGCCACCAAGCGGAUUAGCUCCAGUCAGGCUUCAGCAAUCAGCAUACUCCCACAAAUUUAGCAUGUCGAUGUUUCUCCCAUCAUUCUCCUUCAUGAUAGAACUGAUACUUUGAAGAGUAUGGAUCUCUGCAAAAGAAGUUAAUUUAGUUAAAUAUGAUUUGAUACUGGAUAAUUGUAGAUAUGAACGAAUUUUUGUUGUUCAAACCAAAAACAUCAGUGGAAGCACAGGCCUGUGGUAGCAGCAAUGGCAAAAAAAAUGUUUUUUUCGUAACUCAGUGUUGUGUGAAAAUUGGGAACAGUGGAUUUUCCAGGAGAACAUUUAUAAUUCAAACUAUUUUUGUUAGUGGCAAGCAUGUGAAAAUAUCUAUAUUUAAUAGUGAAAAGGAAGCAUUAAUAAAUGCUUGGACGAAUGAGAAUUUAUUUGUUAACCAACAUUGCUGCCAAAGGAAUUUUGUCACAUAAAGUAGAUGGCAGUGCACAUGUAGAUAGCAGUGCAUCUAAGAUUUUUUGGUCCCGAUCUAGUGGAAUUUACAUUCGUCUGAAGUGUGCCAUCGCCAUUGUGAACGAAGCAUGGGUCACUACAAAUCAUCUUCUGAUACGUUGUCCGGUUUUUAAAAAUCUUUUAUUACUUUAAUAUGUCUUUUUGUAAUUCCUUGGGCAUUAACACUCUCUAAUCAACAAAGAAACUGCUUUUCUCAUGUUACUUUUACCAAUUUUUUUAUACUCGUACAUUUAGUUGAUUAUAGAAAACAUCUUGACAUUCACACGAAUGCCUUUGUCUUAUCUGAUCGUGUUAACAUGCUGAUUCGUUCUUGCCACUGGCCGAAGCCAUUUUGUCAAAUUUUGCAUCUUUCCAAAAUUUAAUCACACACAAGCAUUCUGGCAUGUGUCAGGCAACGGGUUACAGGAAUGGCAUGGUCCCCUUUUGGUGUUGAGCCUGGCCUACACCCUCGGUUAUUGAAAAUGGUGUUGGAACAAGUAAUUACAUGGAGCUGGAGCGUCAAUUUGGGACUUGAUUUGUCAUCUGUUGGUUGACGUAGGAAAACACAGAUUGAACCCACCAUUUUAUUCCCACACUUAUCAUUGGAAUUCUGGGAUGGUAGCUGUUGUUGCAGGACACUCCUUGGUUCAUUAGUGAGGUUCCAGAAAGCAGCAUUCCAAGAGCAAGAAUACAAUUUGCCGGCUGUCAACACAAUAUAGAUUGUUUAACUUUGUUUUCUUGCCUUGGUGGUGAAAUUGAAUUAUAUUGAGAUUUAAAACA